rnacentral:piRNA from 1 species
UAAGUGGUAACAAAUAAUCUGCGCAUGU